rnacentral:rRNA from 1 species
UACAGAGGGUGCGAGCGUUAAUCGGAAUUACUGGGCGUAAAGCGCGCGUAGGCGGCUUUGCAAGCCGGAUGUGAAAUCCCCGGGCUUAACCUGGGAACUGCAUUCGGGACUGCAUUGCUAGAGUAUGGGAGAGGGAAGUGGAAUUUCAGGUGUAGUGGUGAAAUGCGUAGAGAUCGGCAGGAACACCCAGGGGGAAACCAGCCGACUGGGCAUCUGCUGACGCUGAGGUGCGAGAGCGUGGGGAGCGAACCGG